GAUGAACGCUGGCGGCGUGCCUAAUACAUGCAAGUCGAGCGAACAGACGAGGAGCUUGCUCCUCUGACGUUAGCGGCGGACGGGUGAGUAACACGGGGAUAACCUACCUAUAAGACUGGGAUAACUUCGGGAAACCGGAUCUAAUACCGGAUAAUAUAUUGAACCGCAUGGUUCAAUAGUGAAAGACGGUUUUGCUGUCACUUAUAGAUGGAUCCGCGCCGCAUUAGCUAGUUGGUAAGGUAACUGCUUACCAAGGCAACGAUGCGUAGCCGACCUGAGAGGGUGAAUCGCCACACUGUAAGUGAGACACGGCCCAGACUCCUACGGUAAGCAGCAGUACGGACUCCUACGCAAUGGGGGAAUGCCUGACGGAGCAAAGCCGCGUGAGUGCUGAAGGUCUUCGGAUCGUAAAAUUAUGUUAUUCGGGAAGAACAAAUGUGUAAUUACCUAUGCACGUAUUGACGGUACCUAAUCAGAAAGCCCCGGCUAACUACGUG
rnacentral:rRNA from 1 species